GUGUAUCCUCAGCUCUGAGAACUGAAUUCCAUGGGUUAUAGCAAUGUCAGACCUGUGAAGUUCAGUUCUUUAGCUGGGAUAGCUCUA
rnacentral:pre_miRNA from 14 species